rnacentral:rRNA from 1 species
UACGGAGGGUGCGAGCGUUGUCCGGAAUCACUGGGCGUAAAGGGCGCGUAGGCGGCGAGCCAAGCGUGGGGUGAAAGUCCGGGGCUCAACCCCGGAUCGGCCUUGCGAACUGGCUUGCUUGAGCACUGUAGAGGCAGGUGGAAUUCCGGGUGUAGCGGUGGAAUGCGUAGAGAUCCGGAAGAACACCGGUGGCGAAGGCGGCCUGCUGGGCAGUGGCUGACGCUGAGGCGCGACAGCGUGGGGAGCAAACAGG